GACCAACGAAAUGAUCAGGCAGCAAUUUCUUUGUUCUGGAAAUUAGUUGAGACUAUUUAACAGCCUCGGGGGCCCUCCGCAGCACAGGGAACGAGGAUUCUCAGUAGAUAUUUCCUCUGCUGGAGGAGUAAAUCAUGUUGUGAGGAAAAUGAAACGGAGGAAGACUAGGACUAUUCAAAAUGAGGCCCAUACGCGGCUGCUGGUCCAUGUCUGGAUGAAGCCCAUGAGAUAAUCAGAAGACCUGAGCUGUGACAUUCAGGAACCUUGACAGUGAGACUGUGACAGUUGGCUGUCACAAUUUGCAAACAAGAUUGGGUUUUCCAUCUCUUUAUUAUUUCAGUUUCCUACUUUUGCUUGUUUAUUGCAUUUUUAACCAAUGCACUUGUCUGCAUUGCUCAACAGAGCUCCAGAGACUCCACAAGACUCACUGAUGCUACUGGGCUUCAAGAAAUCUCUUUACUGUCAUUAGAAUGUGCAUUGUCUCUGUGUUUUAAGGUGUAUGAGUCCACAUGAAUAUAGUCAGAAACACAGGACACAAGCAUUGAUUGUGGUUGCU
rnacentral:lncRNA from 1 species